UGAAAGGUGCUGGAGACUGAAAUCUUCUGUUCCUCCAUGGAACAAGGAGAGCAGCAGAGCAAGCUUCCACAUGCUGCCUUGCUAAUGUGCCUCAACCCUGAGCGGCAGGCACCACUGCAUAGGGUGAGAGGAUAGUUCAGUUUCCAUCGCUGUGCUGAAGCUACCACU
ensembl:misc_RNA